rnacentral:tRNA from 1 species
ACGUAGCUCAGAAGGUAGAGCAACUGUCUUAUACACAGCAAGCCGAAGGUUCGAUUCCUUCCGUU